rnacentral:rRNA from 1 species
UACGAAGGGUGCUAGCGUUGUUCGGAAUCACUGGGCGUAAAGCGCGCGUAGGCGGCUUGUCAAGUCAGGGGUGAAAUCCCGCAGCUUAACUGCGGAACUGCCUUUGAAACUGUCAAGCUGGAGUGUCGGAGGGGAUAGCGGAAUUGCUAAUGUAGAGGUGAAAUUCGUAGAUAUUAGCAGGAACACCGGUGGCGAAGGCGGCUAUCUGGCCGACAACUGACGCUGAGGCGCGAAAGCGCGGGGAUCAAACAGG